rnacentral:rRNA from 1 species
AACGAACGCUGGCGGCAUGCCUAACACAUGCAAGUCGAACGAGACCUUCGGGUCUAGUGGCGCACGGGUGCGUAACGCGUGGGAACCUGCCCUUAGGUUCGGAAUAACUUCCCGAAAGGGAUGCUAAUACCGGAUAAUGUCUUCGGACCAAAGAUUUAUCGCCUUUGGAUGGGCCCGCGUAGGAUUAGCUUGUUGGUGGGGUAAUGGCCUACCAAGGCGACGAUCCUUAGCUGGUCUGAGAGGAUGAUCAGCCACACUGGGACUGAGACACGGCCCAGACUCCUACGGGAGGCAGCAGUGGGGAAUAUUGGACAAUGGGCGAAAGCCUGAUCCAGCAAUGCCGCGUGAGUGAUGAAGGCCUUAGGGUUGUAAAGCUCUUUUACCAGGGAUGAUAAUGACAGUACCUGGAGAAUAAGCUCCGGCUAACUCCGUGCCAGCCGCCGCGGUAA